GGUGGGACAGAUGAUUAGGGUGAAGUCGUAACAAGGUAGCCGUAGGAGAACCUGCGGCUGGAUCACCUCCUUUCUAAGGAAAAAUUCGG
rnacentral:rRNA from 1 species